GGCUGUGGCUCAGUGGUAAAGAGUGCUCACCUUGCAUGUGCGAGGUCCUGGGUUUGAUCCUCAGCACCA
rnacentral:tRNA from 1 species